UGGGCGGCAGCAGGCGUUCGUUGCUGGCCGGCCGCAGUUCCGCCAGCGGGUGCCAUUCGAACUCGCCCCCGUGGUGCUGCUCCAGGUUGCCCAC
rnacentral:tRNA from 1 species